UCAUGCUCAGGGCAAACCUGUUGAAAGACAGGGACGCAAAGCAAGGGGUCUAAGGCUGUAGUUUUCCAGCUAAGAUUGUCCUAGUUGCCAUG
rnacentral:ncRNA from 1 species